CCAUACUACGCUGAAUACAUCGGUUCUCGUCCGAUCACCGAAAUUAAGCAGCGUCGGGCGCGGUUAGUACUUAGAUGGGGGACCGCUUGGGAACACCGCGUGU
rnacentral:rRNA from 1 species